UGGAAGUAACUGUUGGGAACAAUGCCCAUGG
rnacentral:piRNA from 1 species